UGAAUUGAUUCAAACGUAUUUGAAACAUUGCAUCCAGGUCCCCAAGAAAUAGAAAGAACUAGGGGCUCGCAGAUCUCCUUUUGACCUCUUCUGUCUCUAGUGAUGGCGUCUGGUUCGCCUCGUAAGCGUAUCGAUCAGUUUUUUGCUUCAAAGAAGAGAAAAUCAUUAUCACCUGGUUUGAAGAGUGGGAAAGUUGAGAAAGAUGCAAAAUUAGCCAUUGAAGGGUCUCCUAGUGGCAAAGGAACUUUGGACAAUUAUUUGAGAACUUCACAGGAGGAUAAUCAAACUACCAAGCCUUCACAGGGAGCUAAAGAUUUGUUGGCUAAGCUAGAGCCAGUUAAAAGAAAUUUAUCAUUGGAGAUAAAUAAAUUCUCCAAAGAUGAAAGUAAACAGCCCCUGUUAUCAGCUCAAGUGCAACCUGAAGCUUUUGAAGUAUUUAAAAGCAUUCAGAAGGUGACUACUCAGGUUUCAUCUGAGGGGGGCUGUGAUAGUCUCAUUAAUGAUUGCUCAGUUUCUGCUCAUGUCACAGAAAAUUCAGAUUUGAAACAGUUCGCAAAUAACUUUCUAUCUUUGUAUUGCAGUGAACUCCAUACAAGUGUAAGUUCAACAUCAAAGGUAAAGGUGAAAGACCAUAAGAGACAUGGUAGUCCAUCAUUAAUAGAUAAGGAGGAAAAGAUACCCAAGAAGAAGCAUUGCAAUUCCAAUCAGUCACAAUCAGGAGGUGAAACCACACAUUCUAAUGCAAAGAAUCCUGAAGAAACACAAUGUGGUUUAAUUGUUAAAAAUGAAAUGUUUGUUUCACGUUCUUCCCAAGAGAUGAUGGAUUGUGAUGGUCCCGUUGCGCUUCAAUCAAGCUUGAAAAAAUGCAACAAUUCAUUCAAAUCAACUUUGAAUUCAACAACUUGCUGUACACCUGGAUCAUCAAUUAUUAAAACAUAUGUUCGUGGAACCCCCAAAUCAACAUGUGGAAGCUCCAUAUUUUCUCCUGGAGAAGCUUUCUGGAAUGAAGCAAUUCAAGUUGCUGAUGAUUUGUUUGCUCAACCUGAUAACCUUCCUGCUCAAGCUGACGAAGGGAUCAAUUAUGCUAAAAGCCAGAAUGAGAUAAAUAAUUCUCACAAUUUAAGAAACAAAAAUUGUGACAAGUUAAUGUUGGACGAAGGUGGGAGCAAAUUUUGGCAUGCAACCUAUGAUAGGGCCAGAGAUUCUUUAAAGGCAAUGGAGCAUAUGAAAGAUUCAGAUAAAGAAGCAUCCCCACUACCUGUUAAGCAUUUUGACUUUUUGUGUGAGGACAAAAACUUGGAUGGGGGCACCCCAGGUCAUGUUGCUGCAGAUAGCUCAGAAACUAGGAUGCAUCGAGUCAGUGAAGUAUCUGAAAAGGGCUCUGUAAAUCGCAUAGGGUUUCAAACAAUGAAAAUUAUAACUCAUUAUGACCAAGCUCAGAAAAUUGAAGUGAUGACUGAAGUACAAGCGAAGGUUUCUGUUCAUAUGUUACAAAAAAGAAAAGUGGAUUCAUCAAGUCAAGAUAAUGUUAGUAUCACAUUGGAAUCACCUGAUAAUGAAAUCAAGAAAUUAAUUGGUACUAACGAAUCCAAUGAAGAAUCUACUCCUUCAAGUUAUGUGAUGCAUAAAGACUGUUUAAAGCUUACCAGUUGGCUUCCUUCAGAAAUAUGUAGCAUAUAUGAAAAGAGAGGAAUUUCAAAACUAUAUCCAUGGCAGGUUGACUGCCUUCAGGUGGAUGGUGUUUUGCAGAGGAGGAAUCUUGUCUAUUGUGCAUCAACAAGUGCUGGAAAAAGUUUUGUUGCAGAAAUUUUAAUGUUACGGCGGGUAAUCUCAACUGAGAAAAUGGCAUUACUUGUGCUUCCUUACGUAUCAAUUUGUGCAGAAAAGGCAGAACAUCUGGAAGUCCUUCUUGAACCACUUGGUAAGCAUGUGCGUAGUUAUUAUGGAAACCAGGGUGGUGGAGCACUUCCUCAAGAUACUUCUGUAGCUGUAUGCACUAUAGAGAAGGCAAACUCUUUAAUCAAUAGACUGCUGGAAGAGGGUCGUUUGUCAGAAAUUGGAAUUAUUGUGAUAGAUGAACUGCACAUGGUUGCCGAUCAGACUAGAGGUUAUCUUUUGGAAUUGCUGUUAACAAAGCUUCGUUAUGCGGCUGGUGAAGGAGUUUCAGAGUCAAGUAGUGGAGAAAGUUCAGGUAUGAGCAGUGGGAAGGUUGACUCUGCUCAUGGUCUGCAAAUUGUUGGGAUGAGUGCUACCAUGCCUAAUUUGGCAGCGGUUGCUGACUGGCUGCAAGCAGCAUUAUAUGAAACAGAUUUUCGACCUGUUCCAUUAGAGGAAUACAUUAAAGUUGGUAACACCAUUUAUAAUAAGAAUUUCGACAUUAUUAGAACAGUUCCAACCGCAGCUGACCUUGGUGGGAAAGAUCCAGAUCAUAUUAUUGAACUCUGCAAUGAGGUUGUUCAAGAGGGUCAUUCGGUAUUAAUAUUUUGCUCUAGCCGAAAAGGAUGUGAAUCAACUGCAAGGCAUGUCUCAAAGUUCCUCAAGAAAUGUUCUAUCAGUGUCCACAGUCGUGAUGGAGAGUUUGCUGAUAUUACUUCAGCUAUUGAUGCCUUGCGAAGGUGUCCUGCUGGAGUGGAUCCUAUAUUAGAAGAAACUCUUCCUUCUGGUGUUGCUUAUCACCAUGCUGGACUCACAGUUGAAGAAAGAGAGAUUGUUGAAACCUGCUAUCGUAAAGGGCUUGUACGUGUCUUAACUGCUACAUCUACCUUAGCUGCUGGAGUUAAUCUGCCUGCCAGGAGAGUCAUUUUUCGGCAACCCAGGAUUGGCCGUGAUUUCAUUGAUGGGACAAGGUACAAGCAGAUGGCUGGUCGGGCAGGUCGGACUGGAAUAGAUACAAAAGGAGAAAGUGUUCUUAUUUGCAAAGCAGAAGAGGUCAAAAGAAUUAUUGGACUUCUUAAUGAAAGCUGCCCACCAUUGCAUUCUUGUUUAUCUGAAGAUAAGAAUGGAAUGAUUCAUGCAAUUUUAGAAGUUGUGGCUGGUGGGAUUGUUCAAACUGCUGAAGAUGUUCAUAGAUAUGUUAAAUGCACUCUUCUCAAUUCUACAAAACCAUUUCAAGAUGUGGUAAAAUCAGCACAGGACUCUCUUCGGUGGUUGUGCCACGGAAAGUUUCUUGAGUGGAAUGAGGAUACUAAGUUGUACAGUACUACACCUCUCGGACGUGCAGCUUUUGGCAGUUCUCUUUGCCCAGAAGAAUCACUUACCGUGUUGGAUGAUCUUUCAAGGGCAAGAGAAGGGUUUGUACUUGCAACAGAUUUGCAUUUAGUUUAUCUAGUGACACCGAUUAAUGUUGAAGUUGAACCAGAUUGGGAAUUAUAUUAUGAGCUGUACAUGGAGUUGUCAGCCCUUGACCAGUCAGUUGGCAAUCGAGUGGGAGUAGCAGAACCAUUUUUAAUGCGAAUGGCACAUGGUGCACCUAUACGCACAUCAAGCAGAUCAAGAGAUGGUAGCAAAGGGUUGCAUGCCAAAUCUGAUUACAGACAUGGGAUCACCAACAGUAGUAUGCUUUCAGAGGAGCAGACAAUUAGAGUGUGUAGACGAUUUUAUGUUGCCCUCAUCCUGUCAAGAUUAGUGCAGGAAACUCCUGUGCUUGAGGUUUGUGAAGCUUUUAAAGUGGCCAGAGGUAUGGUUCAAGCUUUGCAAGAGAAUGCAGGAAGGUUUGCAUCUAUGGUUUCUGUGUUCUGUGAGAGGCUUGGAUGGCACGAUCUAGAAGGCUUGGUUGCGAAGUUCCAGAAUCGUGUUUCAUUUGGAGUGAGGGCCGAGAUUGUAGAACUUACUACGAUUCCUUAUGUGAAGGGUUCUCGAGCAAGAGCACUCUAUAAAGCUGGCUUACGUACACCUCUGGCAAUUGCUGAAGCAACCGUUCCUGAAAUUGUCAAAGCUCUUUUUGAAUCUUCAUCAUGGGUAGCACAAGAAGGUUCAGCACAAAGACGCAUACAGUUGGGAGUCGCGAAGAAGAUAAAAAAUGGUGCACGCAAAAUUGUUCUUGAAAAAGCUGAAGAGGCCAGGAUUGCUGCCUUCUCAGCUUUCAAAUCUCUUGGGUUAGAUGUCCCACAGUUUUCUCGACCAUUAUUAUUGACUACUGGUGAUAAUCCCACUAGGCAAGAAGAAGCAACUACCUUCUUUAGGGAUUAUACUUCUAGCAGCUUUGUUGAUCCAAUAAAAACAAACAUGGUUUUGGCUAAGCCACAUAAAGAAGCAGAUGAGAACAUGGAAAAAGUUGCUCUGGAAAAUGCAGGGGAAACUUUGAGAAAAACUUCAGAUGGUGGUUUAGUGGCUUCAGUGGAAGUACACUCAACUACUGCCUUGCAACAUAACUUUGUUACUGAAAAUCUAGAAGUACCAACUGUAGGAUCAGGAAUUGGAGGUGUUAAGUGUAACGCUAAUGUUGAGCAAAUAAAAAAUGCAGAUACAACUCUCUCUAUUCGGCCAGAAAAAAAUGGUAUUGGAAACAUAACACCUAGUGGUCAUCUUGAUAAAUUACAAGAUCGGCCCAGUCAAGGUCUGUGUCUUUUCAAGGACAGUGCUUGGACGAAGGGUCCUAUUAAUGCAACAAAUACUCCUGGAGGAUUUAAUCAUUUUUUGGAUAUCUGGGAAGCCACCCAGGAAUUCUAUUUUGAUAUCCACUAUAACAAACAAUCAAAAGUAAAUCAUGGUGCUCUCUUUGAGAUAUAUGGCAUCGCAAUCUGUUGGGAGAAUUCUCCUGUGUAUUAUGUCAAUCUUCCUAAGGAUCUGUUGUCAUCUGGCAGCAAAAGAAAUGAUGGCUUGGUUAUUUCUGGAUCUGAUGAUAAGAGUGAUUCUCUACCUCCUGAGCGUCAGUUAGAGAUAAUGAAGCAAAGAUGGAAAAGAAUUGGUGUGAUUAUGGAAAAAAGAGAUGUUAGAAAAUUUACUUGGAAUUUGAAAGUUCAGAAUCAGGUGCUUAAGUGUGCUGCAGUUUCCGCUCAGAGAUUUGGUUGCCGGAAUCUUGUGGGGAAAAGUUUAGGACUUGAACUCAUCGACAGCCUGUACUCGUUAUCUCCGAUUUAUGUCAAAGAUGGAAUUGACUUGUGCAUUGUGGCUUGGAUUCUUUGGCCUGAUGAGGAGAGAAGCUCUAAUCCAAACCUGGAGAAGGAAGUUAAGAAAAGAUUAUCCACUGAGGCUGCAGCAGCAGCUAAUAGAAGUGGUCAGUGGAAGAAUCAGAUGCGGAGAGCUGCACAUAAUGGUUGCUGCCGCCGGGUUGCUCAGACACGUGCCCUAUGUUCUGUUCUCUGGAAGUUGCUUGUUUCUGAAGGACUUGUUGAAGCGCUUAUGAACAUUGAAAUUCCAUUGGUCAAUGUCCUUGCUGACAUGGAGCUUUGGGGAAUAGGUGUCAACAUGGAAGGGUGUCUUCAGGCCCGUAAUUUGUUGCAGAAAAAGCUUAGGUAUCUUGAGAAGGAAGCUUAUAAAUUGGCUGGCAUAAAAUUUUCAUUAUAUACAGCAGCAGAUAUUGCAAAUGUCCUGUAUGGACACUUGAAGCUGCCAAUACCUGAAGGGCACAACAAAGGGAAACAACAUCCUAGUACUGACAAGCAUUGUUUGGAUCUUUUAAGGCAUGAGCAUCCUAUUAUUCCAGUAAUUAAAGAGCAUCGAACAUUGGCAAAGCUCUUAAACUGUACACUGGGAUCAAUGUGCACACUAGCUAGGCUAUCUACAAGUGGGCAAAAAUACACACUACACGGUCAUUGGCUCCAAACAUCAACAGCUACUGGUCGACUUUCAAUGGAGGAACCUAAUCUUCAGUGUGUUGAGAAUAUGGUUGAAGUCAAAAUAAAUGAUAAGGAUAAAUGUGAAGACAAUUUAGAUGCUGAUCACUACAAAAUUAAUGCUCGUGAUUUUUUUGUUCCCACCCAGGAGAACUGGUUAUUAUUAACAGCAGAUUAUUCUCAGAUAGAAUUGCGGCUCAUGGCACACUUUUCUAAAGAUUCCGCUCUGAUAGACCUCCUUAGUAAGCCAAAAGGUGAUGUUUUUACCAUGAUCGCAGCAAGAUGGACUGGAAAGCCAGAAGAUUCUAUUGGCUUGCAUGAGCGAGAACAGACCAAAAGGUUGAUCUAUGGCAUUCUGUAUGGAAUGGGUCCUAAUACUCUUUCAGAGCAACUAAAUUGCUGUUCAGAUGAAGCUAAAGAAAAAAUUAAAAGCUUCAAAAGUUCUUUUCCUGGUGUUGCAGCCUGGCUUCAUGAAGCAGUUUCAUCUUGCCAGCAAAAAGGAUAUGUGGAAACCCUAAAAGGAAGAAAGCGGUUCUUGUCAAAAAUCAAAUUUGGAAAUUGUAAAGAAAGAUCUAAGGCUCAGAGGCAAGCAGUGAAUUCUAUUUGUCAGGGAUCAGCUGCUGACAUUAUCAAGAUUGCAAUGAUAAAUAUCCACUCUGUCAUUGUUGAAGGAGUUUAUAGGUCAGAAACUACCUCUGCAGCUGCAACUAAGUUUCAGAUGCUGAAGCAUCGCUGCCGAGUUCUUUUACAGGUACAUGAUGAGUUAGUAUUAGAAGUUGACUCAACUGUGGUUAAGGAAGCUGCAUUGUUGCUACGAAAGUGCAUGGAAAGUGCUGCCAUGCUUCUUGUUCCUUUGCAUGCCAAACUCAAAGUUGGAAGAACAUGGGGUUCUUUGGAACCUAUUCAAGCUGAUAAAGGUGCAGAUAUUGUGCCUGAUUUAUAGAAGAAGAGUCUUUAUUCUUGAUCGAAAAGGUGCUUGAUGACUAUGGAGAGUAGAUUGAAACUAAUGUACAUAAUGUUUGAUUGAUGGGUUAAAUCUCUAACAGUGGUAUCAGUAAAUUGUCUUACCGCCAAAGUUCACUGUUUCCCUCAAGUACACACCUUUUACAAUGAUAUACAGCAAGGAUUCCGACAAAUCUAAAAGGAAGUUAACCCUGAAUAUUGUGAUUGCUACUGCAAAUGCUGGUGGCCUAUCACGCUUAAUUUUGUUUCAACAAUGUGACAUGCUUUCUGAUUGCUGGAUUCGGCAAGCAUAGCGGAGUGUUUGAGACAAGCAUCCAUACAGUUGCAGUUGUUCGGUUUCAAACAACUGGAGAUGUGGAAAAAAUUGAGGGCUCGAUGUCAGUUACAAUAUUCUGCAUUUCUACUUAUGCGCCAUUAAGCUUACCAACCAGAAUGAUCUGGUGGGUGUGCAGGUGGUUACACUGGCCAUCAGUUAUGGCCCACCUUCCAGUCUUAUCUGUGGGGUUACUGACUUGCUUUUAAGGAAGCUGCAGAAGAUUCAAACUAAUCAGUGAGUAUGAAUUUAAUCAUAAGUAGAUUUUUCGUAAACAAAACUGCAGCAAACUUUAUAAGUACAUGCAUACCGAAGG